rnacentral:rRNA from 1 species
CAGUAGCCGCGGUAAUACGGAGGGUGCAAGCGUUAAUCGGAAUUACUGGGCGUAAAGCGCACGCAGGCGGUCUGACAAGUCAGAUGUGAAAUCCCCGGGCUUAACCUGGGAACUGCAUUUGAAACUGUCAGGCUGGAGUCUUGUAGAGGGGGGUAGAAUUCCAGGUGUAGCGGUUAAAUGCGUAGAGAUCUGGAGGAAUACCGGUGGCGAAGGCGGCCCCCUGGACAAAGACUGACGCUCAGGUGCGAAAGCGUGGGGAGCAAACAGGAUUAGAUACCCCUGUAGUCCCUGUCUCUUAUAC